rnacentral:rRNA from 1 species
UGGGGAAUAUUGGACAAUGGGCGAAAGCCUGAUCCAGCAAUGCCGCGUGCAGGAAGAAGGCCUUCGGGUUGUAAACUGCUUUUGUACGGAACGAAAAGGCUCUUUCUAAUAAAGAGGGCCCAUGACGGUACCGUAAGAAUAAGCACCGGCUAACUACGUGCCAGCAGCCGCGGUAAUACGUAGGGUGCGAGCGUUAAUCGGAAUUACUGGGCGUAAAGCGUGCGCAGGCGGUUCUAUAAGACAGAUGUGAAAUCCCCGGGCUCAACCUGGGAAUGGCAUUUGUGACUGUAGAGCUAGAGUACGGUAGAGGGGGAUGGAAUUCCGCGUGUAGCAGUGAAAUGCGUAGAUAUGCGGAGGAACACCGAUGGCGAAGGCAAUCCCCUGGACCUGUACUGACGCUCAUGCACGAAAGCGUGGGGAGCAAACAGGAUUAGAUACCCCAGUAGUCCCUGAGCGGGCUGGCAAGGCGCAU